rnacentral:rRNA from 1 species
CCUACGGGAGGCAGCAGUGGGGAAUCUUGCACAAUGGAGGAAACUCUGAUGCAGCGAUGCCGCGUGAGUGAAGAAGGCCCUUGGGUUGUAAAGCUCUUUCGUCGGGGAAGAAAAUGACUGUACCCGAAUAAGAAGGUCCGGCUAACUUCGUGCCAGCAGCCGCGGUAAUACGAAGGGACCUAGCGUAGUUCGGAAUUACUGGGCUUAAAGAGUUCGUAGGUGGUUGAAAAAGUUAGUGGUGUAAUCCCAGAGCUUAACUCUGGAACUGCCAUUAAAACUUUUCAGCUAGAGUAUGAUAGAGGAAAGCAGAAUUUCUAGUGUAGAGGUGAAAUUCGUAGAUAUUAGAAAGAAUACCAAUUGCGAAGGCAGCUUUCUGGAUCAUUACUGACACUGAGGAACGAAAGCAUGGGUAGCGAAGAGGAUUAGAUACCCUCGUAGUCCAUGCCGUAAACGAUGUGUGUUAGACGUUGGAAAUUUAUUUUCAGUGUCGCAGGGAAACCGAUAAACACACCGCCUGGGGAGUACGACCGCAAGGUUAAAACUCAAAGGAAUUGACGG